rnacentral:rRNA from 1 species
AUUGAACGCUGGCGGCAUGCCUUACACAUGCAAGUCGAACGAGUGGCGAACGGGUGAGUAAUAUAUCGGAACGUGCCCAGUCGUGGGGGAUAACGUAGCGAAAGUUACGCUAAUACCGCAUACGAUUGGAGCGGCCGAUAUCAGAUUAGGUAGUUGGUGGGGUAAAGGCUCACCAAGCCGACGAUCUGUAGCUGGUCUGAGAGGACGACCAGCCACACUGGGACUGAGACACGGCCCAGACUCCUACGGGAGGCAGCAGUGGGGAAUUUUGGACAAUGGGCGAAAGCCUGAUCCAGCCAUGCCGCGUGCAGGAUGAAGGCCUUCGGGUUGUAAACUGCUUUUGUACGGAACGCGGUACCGUAAGAAUAAGCACCGGCUAACUACGUGCCAGCAGCCGCGGUAAUAC